UCCGGUUUGUCACCGGCAGUCUCGCUAAAGUGCCCAACUAAAUGAUGGCAAUUAACGACAAGGGUUGCGCUCGUUGCGGGACUUAACCCAACAUCUCACGACACGAGCUGACGACAGCCAUGCAGCACCUGUGUUCUGGCUCUCUUUCGAGCACAUCCACCUCUCAGCAGACUUCCAGACAUGUCAAGGGUAGGUAAGGUUUUUCGCGUUGCAUCGAAUUAAUCCACAUCAUCCACCGCUUGUGCGGGUCCCCGUCAAUUCCUUUGAGUUUUAAUCUUGCGACCGUACUCCCCAGGCGGUCAACUUCACGCGUUAGCUGCGGUACUAAAGAAGUCUCCUUCCCCAACACCUAGUUGACAUCGUUUAGGGCGUGGACUAC
rnacentral:misc_RNA from 1 species